rnacentral:rRNA from 1 species
GUAGUCACGCCGUAAACGAUGUCGACUUGGAGGUUGUUCCCUGAGGAGUGGCUUCCGGAGCUAACGCGUUAAGUCGACCGCCUGGGGAGUACGGCCGCAAGGUUAAAACUCAAAUGAAUUGACGGGGGCCCGCACAAGCGGUGGAGCAUGUGGUUUAAUUCGAUGCAACGCGAAGAACCUUACCUACUCUUGACAUCCAGAGAACUUAGCAGAGAUGCUUUGGUGCCUUCGGGAACUCUGAGACAGGUGCUGCAUGGCGUCGUCAGCUCGUGUUGUGAAAUGUUGGGUUAAGUCCCGCAACGAGCGCAACCCUUAUCCUUUGUUGCCAGCGAUUCGGUCGGGAACUCAAAGGAGACUGCCGGUGAUAAAACCGGAGGAAGGUGGGGAUGACGUCAAGUCAUCAUGGCCCUUACGAGUAGGGCUACACACGUGCUACAAUGGCGCAUACAAAGAGAAGCGACCUCGCGAGAGCAAGCGGACCUCACAAAGUGCGUCGUAGUCCGGAUCGGAGUCUGCAACUCGACUCCGUGAAGUCGGAAUCGCUAGUAAUCGUGGAUCAGAAUGCCACGGUGAAUACGUUCCCGGGCCUUGU